AAUUCUGACCCAGCAGGUCCCCCAAGGUGGUGGAGGAGAAGGGGGCCCCUCCACGGUCGGAUCAGGGGGACACCCCCAGGCCACAUCCCGAGCCCCACGGUCCAUCCCACAGGAGAGCUCCGAUCCACUGGGCAGGAAGGGGGUUUUUAGUCUUCAAAUGUUAAAAUGCAGAAAUUAGGGUGGUGAAAAAUCGCACAUCUUUGAGAAACAUCUCAGUUCAUCAGUGAGCAGUUCCUCGUACUUCUCAGAAGAGAACUCAUGAUGCCUCCUCUAAGGGGACCCAAGGAUGCCGGGAUGGGAGCUGGUGCUGAGAAGGGUUGAGACAGAAGGGCAGGGGAAGUGCCACAGUUCUGAGUCACCAACCCUGAAGCUACAGCCGGGGUCUCUGUACCCGGCCACCAAGAAGCAGAGCAUGCAAACCUCCGCCGGCUGCUGAAACAGAGGCAGCUGCCCACGCGCGCUGACCCCGACCUGCGAGCCCUCUUCCGUGAGGAAACAGAACUCUCUGUCCAAAGAGCGAGACCGGAUCCGCAGGGACCCCAGCAUUGCCAGGAUGAGGGCGGGCACUGGGUGGUGGAGGGGCGGUGCUAUUCCGCUCUCCACACUCUGUCCUCUCCAAGAGGGCUCUGCUGUGGGAUGUGGCCCUGUCCCUGGAGCCCACGCUCGGCAGGACUGACUCCGGCUGGCUGGAGCCGACUCAGGGCUGAUUCACCGGCACCCCACCCUCCGCAGCAGCCGCUCUCCCACGCUGCCCCUGGUGCAGAGCCUUCAAGGCCCCUCAGGCAGGGGCGGCCGUGGCCUUCACACACCGGUGCUUUGCGCUCGUCUCCAUGGGAGCGUCCAGGAAGCUCCCACCUCAGACCCCAGACCCGGCUUCUCCCCCUCCGCAAGUCAGGAGGGGCUCACUGAAGACCCCAGGUCCCACGCCCACCGUAUCCCUAGAAGGCAUACGGCCUGCCGCCCACCCUGCAGGGAGGUCAGGCUGGUCCCAGCGCCCCCCGUGCUCUGCCCAUCUGCUCUGCCCACCCUCCCCAAACCCUGCGACAUUGAGCGCGUGCCAGCCUCACCCAGCCCAGCUCAGGACGAAGUCUGGGGACACAAAGUUAAAAAGGGAAGAGCCCCGGGCCCCACCCAGACCUACUGGAGGAGAUCUUCUGGCCAUGGAGCCUGGAAGUGCACAUUCCAGACCAUUCCCCGGGUGUCUCUGAAGCACCUGACGUUUAGGAACCACUGGUCCACGUGCUGAGAGAGGCCCAGACAAGCGGCAACCAGGGGAAGGGGAUGGAGGGGGGGACUCCACCAGCCUCUCCGAGGCAGGCUGUCCUCACCUCCCACCCAUUCCGUCAUCUUGAAGUUGGUCUGGGACGUGGUUUCCCGGGGGUCUGCGACCCAGGAACAAACGGCAGUGCGUAGGAACUCUGGUCUUUAAAAAGCAGGUGAUGUUGGAUAAAAAUGUACAUCAGGACCUUGUUGAAAGGGAAUGCAUGUUCCAAAAGGGCGCGACACACCUGAGGACGACUGCAGAAGGUGAGCUGUCCAGCCACUCAGCCCCCGCCCCCGAGACCAUUCAGAGCGCCCACGUUUAGCCCCAGCUGACAGGGCCACCUCCUCUGCACCCCCAGAAACCUCUGCGGAAAUUCACGAAGUUGGAGCAGGGAUGAGAAGGGAAACAAAGGUGGAGACGAGAAGGAACCACGGGCAUGGCAGAGAGUCCUCCACUCAGCCGUUCACGGACAUGUUUAUGUGCUGGAGAUUCAAGAGAAAGGGCUCAGAAACUGACCUCCAGGAGCUCUGGGGACAAUGGGGACAGAUGGACAGAGUCCAGUACAGCAGGGGUGGUCCAGAAACCUGCCAAGGAGGCCUGCGGAAAGCAAGCCAGUGACCCAGCACCUCUGCCCAACCACAGCCAGGGUCCCACUGACCUCUGACCCCUCCGGCCAGAAGUCCCCAUGAGCACGCAGCCGGCGAGAGGUCGGAGUACCAGCAGGCUCUGCCCUGGGGUUCCAGGCCGGACCCUUGCACCACAGACCACGUGGCUUCUGUGAUCCCAGAAGAGCUACGAGCAUCUCAGAGGACACGGGCUUUCCUCUGAGACGGUGGGUCCAGGCGGAGCUGCCGUGGUGACACUCGCACCCCCUCUGUGGCAUCUACGCCCAGGUGAGCAGCCCGGCACAGGUAAGCAGAGUCGUCACCACAGGGAGCCGGUGUCCUUCCCGGAGUUUACACGCGACUUAGUCCUUGACCAUCUAGGAAACCCCCCACUCCCAGCCGCUGCUCACCAGGGCCCUGGACGGCGUGUCAGUCUUUCUAGGGGAAGCGCUGGAGUGGUGGAGCCCCGCGGGGUGAGGAGAGAAGGAGGCCCUUGGGCGCCCACCACGCGUGAUGUGGUGAGUCCGCGCGCUCUGGUCCCAAGUGGCUGGUGCCGUACCGCCUCUCAUCACGGUGAGGCCCAGAGGAGUCAAGCAGCCAGUCCAGGGCCCACGGGGAGUCAGCGCCGGGCGCAGGCCUUGAGCUCCGCCUCUGACUCAGUCCCACUGCACGGCCCUCAGUCGAGGUGGUUUCAUGUCCAUCACUGUCUCCACGGGAAAUUCGAUAUUCAAGUAAUGGCCGAUCAGGCAGAAUGCAGGGAGUGGCGGGGAUAGAGGGAGGGAGCGCUGCUCCAGCCCAGGGCAGGGGC